AUUGAACGCUGGCGGCAGGCCUAACACAUGCAAGUCGAGCGGAUGAAGGGAGCUUGCUCCUGGAUUCAGCGGCGGACGGGUGAGUAAUGCCUAGGAAUCUGCCUGGUAGUGGGGGAUAACGUCCGGAAACGGGCGCUAAUACCGCAUACGUCCUGAGGGAGAAAGUGGGGGAUCUCCGGACCUCACGCUAUCAGAUGAGCCUAGGUCGGAUUAGCUAGUUGGUGGGGUAAAGGCCUACCAAGGCGACGAUCCGUAACUGGUCUGAGAGGAUGAUCAGUCACACUGGAGCUGAGACACGGUCCAGACUCCUACGGGAGGCAGCAGUGGGGAAUAUUGGACAAUGGGCGAAAGCCUGAUCCAGCGAUGCCGCGUGUGUGAAGAAGGUCUUCGGAUUGUAAAGCACUUUAAGUUGGGAGGAAGGGCAGUAAGUUAAUACCUUGCUGUUUUGACGUUACCAACAGAAUAAGCACCGGCUAACUUCGUG
rnacentral:rRNA from 1 species